CCCUUUGGAGACUUGGUAGCCUUAUCUGACCUGGCUAUAACUACUGCAUUAGUGAAGAUCAAUUUCUUCUCUUGGAAACAUCCAGCAAGCUCUACCUACUUGAAUGUGCCUGAUCAUAACCCAAGAAGAAGCCAGAAACACACCGACAGUGAAAACUCCACUAGCUGAGCAGACUUCAAGAAGGCCACAGGCUUUACAGACGUCCUCUGUCCUCCUGUGGGUUUCAGUCCAUGAGUUUGGUGAUCAGCUGUUUGUGGAAAUGUUGGA